rnacentral:rRNA from 1 species
GGUCAAGUGAAGAAGCGCAUACGGUGGAUGCCUUGGCAGUCAGAGGCGAUGAAAGACGUGGUAGCCUGCGAAAAGCUUCGGGGAGUCGGCAAACAGACUUUGAUCCGGAGAUGUCUGAAUGGGGGAACCCAACCAUCAUAAGAUGGUUACCUUACACUGAAUACAUAGGUGUAUGGAGCGAACCAGGGGAACUGAAACAUCUAAGUACCCUGAGGAAAAGAAAUCAACCGAGAUUCCCUUAGUAGUGGCGAGCGAACGGGGACUAGCCCUUAAGUGGCUUUGAGAUUAGCGGAACGCUCUGGAAAGUGCGGCCAUAGUGGGUGAUAGCCCUGUACGCGAAAAUCUCUUAGUCAUGAAAUCGAGUAGGACGGAGCACGAGAAACUUUGUCUGAAUAUGGGGGGACCAUCCUCCAAGGCUAAAUACUACUGACUGACCGAUAGUGAACUAGUACCGUGAGGGAAAGGCGAAAAGAACCCCGGAGAGGGGAGUGAAAUAGAUCCUGAAACCGUAUGCGUACAAGCAGUGGGAGCAGACUUUGUUCUGUGACUGCGUACCUUUUGUAUAAUGGGUCAGCGACUUAUUUUCAGUGGCGAGCUUAACCGAAUAGGGGAGGCGUAGCGAAAGCGAGUCUUAAUAGGGCGUCUAGUCGCUGGGAAUAGACCCGAAACCGGGCGAUCUAUCCAUGGGCAGGUUGAAGGUUGGGUAACACUAACUGGAGGACCGAACCGACUACCGUUGAAAAGUUAGCGGAUGACCUGUGGAUCGGAGUGAAAGGCUAAUCAAGCUCGGAGAUAGCUGGUUCUCCUCGAAAGCUAUUUAGGUAGCGCCUCAUGUAUCACUGUAGGGGGUAGAGCACUGUUUCGGCUAGGGGGUCAUCCCGACUUACCAAACCGAUGCAAACUCCGAAUACCUACAAGUGCCGAGCAUGGGAGACACACGGCGGGUGCUAACGUCCGUCGUGAAAAGGGAAACAACCCAGACCGUCAGCUAAGGUCCCAAAGUUAUGGUUAAGUGGGAAACGAUGUGGGAAGGCUUAGACAGCUAGGAGGUUGGCUUAGAAGCAGCCACCCUUUAAAGAAAGCGUAAUAGCUCACUAGUCGAGUCGGCCUGCGCGGAAGAUGUAACGGGGCUCAAACCAUACACCGAAGCUACGGGUAUCACCUUCGGGUGAUGCGGUAGAGGAGCGUUCUGUAAGCCUGUGAAGGUGAGUUGAGAAGCUUGCUGGAGGUAUCAGAAGUGCGAAUGCUGACAUGAGUAACGAUAAUGGGUGUGAAAAACACCCACGCCGAAAGACCAAGGUUUCCUGCGCAACGUUAAUCGACGCAGGGUUAGUCGGUCCCUAAGGCGAGGCUGAAAAGCGUAGUCGAUGGAAAACAGGUUAAUAUUCCUGUACUUCUGGUUAUUGCGAUGGAGGGACGGAGAAGGCUAGGCCAGCUUGGCGUUGGUUGUCCAAGUUUAAGGUGGUAGGCUGGAAUCUUAGGUAAAUCCGGGAUUCUAAGGCCGAGAGCUGAUGACGAGU